AACUGUCUCGAGGAGUAGCCCGGUGAAAAUGCAAUGGGGGUGAAGAUGCCCUCUACCUGCAGCUAGACGAAAAGACCCCAGGAGCUUUACUGCAGCUUGAUAUUGAGCUUACGUUUUUACUGCGUAGCAUAGGUGGGAGACUUUGAAGCGUCGCUUUCGGGUGGCGUGGAGUCAACAGUGAAAUACCACUCUGUACGAAUGUAUGUUCUAACCACGGUGUAAACCAUCGUGAGACAGUAUCUGGUAGGUAGUUUUAGUGGGGCGCUAUCCUCCUAAAAAGUAACGGAGGAGUCUAUUAAGGUCCUCUAGGCGCGAAUGGAAACCGUGCCGAUAGUGUAAUGGCAUAAGAGGGCUUGACUGCAAGACGUACAUGUCGAGCAGAUGCGAAAGCAGAGCAUAGUGAACCGACAGUCCGCCUUAGAAACGGCUGAAGAUUAACGGAUAAAAGCUACCCUGGGGAUAACAGGCUGGUACCGCCCAAGCGUCCAUAGCGACGGCGGUGUUCGGCACCUCGAUGUCGGCUCAUCUUAUCCUGGGGCUGGAGAAGGUCCCAAGGGUAUGGCUGUUCGCCAUUUAAAAAGAUACGCGAGCUGGGUNNNNNNNAAAAGAUACGCGAGCUGGGUUCAAACCGUCGAGCACCUUUGACGCAAUUAUUUAUUGCGCUGAAGAUGCUUCAACACCUUAUUUAGUUUGUUCGAGAGAAUAAAAAAUAUAAAAGGUGCUCGACAGUUUGAAUCCCUUCGAGUUUUUCGUUUGUGAAAUUAAGUAUAGGAACCAACCAUAAUCACGGCGGCGUAAUGUAGCAAUAUAUUACGAGAUGCUGACUUAUAUCGGUGAAAUCCCAAUCUAAAUGGGACAACACCGAGGGAAGUUUGUGUACUGAAUAGUGGAAAAGCAACGUUGUGCUCAGUCCUGGUACUCGCGAGGUAACUCGGAGUCGUAAUCCAGGUUCAUAGAGGCGUAAAAACGUUUCGUUGCUUUUUCACCCAGACUAAUGAAUUAAAUUUCAUUGGUCCCACUAUUCAGUACACAAGUACCCGUAGAGACUGAACGUUAGCUAUCCAGCUUUUUAAAAAGUACUGGAUAAAGAUACAGUCCGAUGCACUUAGUAAUAAGUGAAAACAUGCGUGAGACAGGUUGGUCUCCUAUCUGCUGCAGGCGUUGAUACUUGAGAGGAUUUGUCUCUAGUAAGAAAUUGCUACUUGGUGAAGAAAUUUGCCAUGACAAUUUGGCUAAUAACGGUGAAGCCUUCAUAAAUAUAUCUGGCAACUGGAUACUAUAUGGUCCUAGUCCGCCCAAUAGUGUAUAAUGACUUGAGGACCAGAUAAUUUUUAAGGUAAUACCGUGGGAAGUCGAUCUAAAAUUGAUUUAGCGUAUUGUGCAGGGUUUCUUGAUGGCGAUGGUAGCCUGAUGCUUCAACUAAAGAAGCGCAAAGACGGCAAAUUAAAAUGUCGCUUUAUGGCCACUAUCUGUUUUUAUCAAGAUACUCGGCACGCCAAAACUCUAGAAUGGAUCAGAGAUUUGUUUGGCAUUGGCUAUUUAUCUAAAAGAAAUGACGGCAUGUCAGAGCUUAGGAUAAAUGGUUACCAGCAAGUUGGAGAUAUUCUAAAGUUAUUGUUACCAUAUAUAAAAUUCAAAAAAAUACAGGCCGAGGCUUUAGCUCAGGCUUGUGAUAUUUUGAGUAAGGGAACAUUGGGAACGUUAAAAAAUAAACAACUUAAGUUGCUCAUUGAUUUGGUACUGAUUAUCCAAAAGGAAAAUUAUGCGACCAAAUCAAAGAAAACUAAAGACGAUUUAUAUUCAAUUUUAGGUUUGACCCCGUAACGACUUGUUCUGAGUUUCACUUUGGUGAGGCAAGAUGAACGGACUUAUACAACGGCGAAUCAUUUCUUUGAAAAUGACGGCUUGUAUGGGUAAUAUGCCAACCCUUCCUUCGUUUUUACAACGAAAAAGGUGAAGAUAUAGUCUGUGCUCCUAGAAAUAGGGGAAUAAACGACGAGAGGACCGAGAUGAACUGACCUCUGGUCUACCUGCUGUCCCGCCCGGGGCAUCGCAGGGUAGCUAUGUCGGGAAUGGAUAACCGCUGAAAGCAUCUAAGCGGGAAGCCAACCUCAAGAUUAGGUAUCGUUAUGAGACCCGUGAGAGAUGAUCACGUUGAUAGGCACUAGGUGUAAGCACCGCAAGGUGUUCAGCCGUGGUGUACUAAUUCGUCCAUUCCUAUUAGGAA
rfam:Candidatus Vogelbacteria bacterium RIFOXYD1_FTLL_44_32 rifoxyd1_full_scaffold_1819, whole genome shotgun sequence.